CCCGCCGCCCCGGGCCCUCUCGCGGGGGCCGGAGUCCGCUCGGCGGGGAGGGCUGCGGGCGGGGCGGGAGGCGCGUCCCGCCGCGGGGCGCCGGGGCCGGCCUGGCCGUGCGGGGCCGCCGGAGGGACCCAGCCGCUUCGGGCACGGCCGCAGCUUCCUGGCUCUGCUCGGGAGUGAGCCGAUGCCGACGGCUUUAUUCCUCCGCGACAGGGUUUCUGCAGCCCGGCACCCCUUACCCUCGCGUUUCUUUAGCAGCGUGUGAUUGCUGCCCAAAUAACUGCGGUUUGCUUUGUUUCAAGGCGUAUUUGUAUGUAUAGAGGCCAGCACGAGUGCUUCUAGAUUAUAUUGUUAAAUAUCAUACAUUUUGUUUAUAUUUGUUUACCUGAAGGCUUGGUGAUCCGUGUUUUGUUGUUGGCUUCGUUUCCCCAAAAUACAAGUAAUAGCGUUAAUAUGACUGUUACAUUUGAAAAUGUUAUCCACUGUCUCCUCUGUGUUUCUCACCGAAAAGGGGAAAAAAAAUCCUUUAGUAAGCAGCAGCCCUCUUGUGUCAAUGGGGCCAAAACCCCCUGAGCUACAGGCAUUUUUUAUGAAAUGAGCUCAACAGCAGGUUGGGAGUUGGUUGCUCUGACGGGUCAGUCAUGUCCUCCCGUUUGUGCAGGUAGCAAGUUCAGAACCCUCUGAGCGUUCCUAAUCCUACAAAGGAUACUUAGUUUUUGUCCCGCUUAGCUUUUUGACUCAGCUUACCCUCCAGCUAUGUCAGCACCAGGUUGGCACAAUGGAGGAGGUGAGACUGUGGCAGACUCGGUUUAGAGUGACUUAAGCUGCUGUGACACUACUUUCUGAACUGACCAUUUUAGCCAGGAUGCUCGUUUCUUCUCCCUGUGUCAUCUCAAAAUCAUUCACAUCUCUUUGGAACUGCAGCACCCAAGACUGGAUACAGUACUACAGCUGAGGCCUCAACACCACCAGCAUCUGCUGUCACAGCCCACAUUCCUGUUCACAUGUGCUAAUACAGAUACUUUCGAAUGGGUGUGAGCUGUUCAUGAUUUUGCUGGCCUGUUUUAGCCCCUCAUCCAUUUCUGCUGACCUGCCGAGCCAGUUCUUUCUCUCUCAAGUUGACAGUAAUGCUAAUUGAGAAAUGAUUUACUCCAACAGCCCUAAUGCUCUCCUGUCAUUUUUACUGCUGGACAGAUGGACAGACGAGCGGUCAAGACAUCUGUUGCAAUAAAAUUCCAUGUGAUUUUAAGUUGGAAAA